GCAUGCACUUUGGGAGGCAGAGGCUGGGAGAACUGGGUCACAGAAGGCCCGCAGGUACAUACUAUAUACUGCACUUUCACUUAUUUAAUUUUCAAAACAAUUCCAGCAAGUAAACAUUAUUUUCCCAGUUUUACCAACAAAGUAACCAACAUUCUCCUUUGUCUGAGGUGCGGAAAAUAACGUGGAGCUGGCGUCCUAAGUCUGACUCCAGAGCUCACAUGCCUGCUAUCAUGCCACAGGAUGGCAAGGAUUUUGGGAGGCAGCCCUGGACAAAAAGUGCCUAUCUCAGACUGCUCAAGAUGUGAAGCCUAAAUAUACAGGCUUAGCCCACUGAGUAAAACUAAGGCUUUGUAAUGUCCUCAGAAGGCCAUCGUUGCUCUAAAAUUAUGAACGAGGAUGCCCCGGCCGCCUCCCUCUCCUGGCUUUAUCAUCCAUCCUGUGAUCUGUGGGCCGGCAGAGUGAGGCCCAAGGCACGGAGACGAGACACCUCCGGAAACGACCUGCGUGCACUGACCGCGCACAGGCACGGUCCCUCUGCACUCGCUCCGUCCUGGGCGCGGCCCGGCCCGGCUCUAGCGCCAAGCCAGCCUGCUCUGACCCGCCGUGGCGGCAGCACACGUGUCACCAUCUGGUAGGGCUGCCCCAUACUACUCUCAGAACUCUCAGUUUCCUGGCAAACUUCAGUGUAUCUGUCAUAUUCCUCCCCCAAAUUUUGUUGGUAUUUUAUAGAGACAGUGACCUUACAGAUUAAAGAACUGUCACUUUUUCAAAAUUAAACCAUACUUUGCAGGAA